rnacentral:rRNA from 1 species
CUACGGAGGGUGCAAGCGUUACUCGGAAUCACUGGGCGUAAAGCGCGCGCAGGCGGCUAUUUAAGUUGGAUGUGAAAGCCUACGGCUCAACCGUAGAACUGCAUCCAAAACUAUUUAGCUAGAGUGUGGGAGAGGAAGAUGGAAUUAGUUGUGUAGGGGUAAAAUCCGUAGAGAUAACUAGGAAUACCAAAAGCGAAGGCAAUCUUCUGGAACACUACUGACGCUGAGGCGCGAAAGCGUGGGGAGCAAACGGGAUUAGAAACCCUUGUAGUCCC